rnacentral:rRNA from 1 species
GACGAACGCUGGCGGCGUGCUUAACACAUGCAAGUCGAACGGAAAGGCCCUGCUUUUGUGGGCUGCUCGAGUGGCGAACGGGUGAGUAACACGUGAGUAACCUGCCCUUGCUUUUGGGAUAGCUUCAGGAAAGUGGGGCUAAUAACGGAUAGGAGCUCCCGCUGCACGGUGGGGGGUGGAAAUUUUCGGCGGUUGGGGCUGGACUCGCGGCUUAUCAGCUUGUUGGUGGGGUAGUGGCUUACCAAGGCUGUGAAGGGUAGCCGGCCUGAGAGGGUGACCGGGCACAUUGGUCCUGGGGUACGGGCCGGAGGGCUACGUGAGGCAGCAGUGGAGAACAUUGCACAAUGGGCGGAAGCCGGAUGCAGCAACGCCGCGUGCGGAAUGACGGCCUUCGGGUUGUAAACCGCUUUCGGCUGUUACGAAGCGGGAGUGACGGUAAUGGGUAAAAAAGCACCGGCUAACUACGUG